UGGGAGAGGGGAACCAUUUACUACCAUGGCAUAAAUGAGGAGGGGUUAUUUAAGAAAGAAGUCGACAAGCUUUUACUCCAAACACAGAUGGAGACCUCUGGUUUACUAAAGGGGCAGGUCUCUGCUGAGCUUCGCAGAACUAUGUAGUUCUCUGUCUCUUGCCUCCUUCUGAUGCCUGGAUGUUUGGGUUCCAUUUCGAUCAGAUAUGCCCUGCAACUCCGGCCCAUUUGUCUUCUCUUGGAGGAGCCAGACAAGAUUCUCAUUUAUUCACUUGCAAUCAGCUACUGCCAUCACACAGAGACACACAGCGUGCGUGAGCAUUAUUACACCAGGGGCAUCAUAUGCUCAGGCAUGGGCCAGGGAGGGGUGGAGUCUUGGCUGGCAGGCUUAUCUGUGACAGAAGUGAUCAGUAGACAGUUUUUCUGUCAAAAACAAAGGUGAUACUUCGCCUACUAGGCAUCAUUCUCUGUGGCUGCCCUGAGUGGGUUGCCAUAUUUAGUUCCUUACAACUCAAUAGGUAGCCACAGCCAACUAGAUUGGGGGGCACCUAAUGGACAGAUCCAGUUGGAUUUUCUGAAGAAUCCCAGGUGGAGAUGGGGAAACUUCAUGUGGCUAAGUGACUGAAAACAAGUUAAGAGACUUCACCAGGGUGUAGAGAGCAGAGACAUUGCCUCCCCAGGACCUGGAACAAUACCUGUUAUACGGCAGAAGUUCAAUCAAUAUCUGCAGAAUAAAUAAAUGAAUAUGAAUGCCUGAAGGGUACUAUUAUGCCAUCCUGUCAUGCUGUGCCUCUGCCUGAAUUGAGCGGAGAGCCCACUUCUCUGAAACAAUGGAAGCUCAUGUGCUUGAUGGUCCCCAAGUAACUGACCUCUGAUCACAAGGACAGAACCAGCAGGAUUCGUUCUGAGCCUCGGAGAACCAAACAGUGUAUGGACAGCAUCAGUCAAGCAAAGACUUGCUUAUGAAUUUUGGGAAUAGAAGUUAAUUUUCUCCUGCAAGUUUUCACAGUGGAAAGCCUGUCGCUAUGUCAUGAGGACACUCAACCCUAUGGAAUGGACCGUGCAGCAUGGAAGAUGCCUUCUACCAACAACCAGCACAAACUCAUUGGGCAUCUGACUGAGCAAAACUGGAAGCAAAUCUCCGGCCCCAGUCAAGCCUUCAGAUAACUGCAGCCCCAGCCAACAUCUUGGCAGACACCUCACAAGAGACCCUGAAUCAGAACCAUCUAGCUAAGCCACUCCUGAACAUUGUACUAUAGAAACAGUGUAAAAUAAUAAAUGUUUACUGUUGUUUGGACCACUAGGUUUGGCAGUCAUGCAGCAGAUGUAUAACCAAUAUUCCAACAAAAUCUAAAACUCUGGUGUUUCCUUCCUCAGACAUGUCCAUCACAGUCUAAUUUCAACAAAUCAUGCAGGGAAUAAUGAGGAUCUGUUUCAAGAUAGUGGUAAUAGAUGUGGCAAGAGAUGAAUGGACUAAAUAGACAUUAAGGAAGCAUUUGACAGACCUGGUGACAGGAGUGGGGAGUAAGAGAGUGACAGAAGUUUAGGAUAAGAGGCUUGUUUACUUGGUUUUAUGUUUUGCUGAGCUCAGUUCCAAAAGGAAUGAAACAAAAAUUCAGCCAAAUAACCUUUAAUGAGUUAGGACUUCUUUCAUCAAUCAGUGUGUACAAUUUCUUCACAGAAUCAGAUUUUAAAUAUUGUGAUUGAAAAGAGAAAAUGGUAAGAGGAGGUUACUUUUAUGGUAGAUCAACAAUAGUCUUUUUUGCUUUCAUAUUUCUGUUUAUACUCUUGAAAUUUCCUUUAUAUGCAUUAGCUCAUUUGCUGUUUACAACAAUAUUAUGUAUUAGCUCAGCCAGUGUUUAUGCAAAUAUAAGCAGUGAGAAAAAAGUGAGAUAAUGUGCCAGUUAGUGCAUUUUUUAUUGAAAUUGUGACAGAAGACUCAACUCAAAUGGGCUUAAGCUAAAAAGAGAUUUUAUUGCUGAAUUUGUAGGAAUAGGUACAGCUUCAGAUCAGUGAGAUUCAGUCCU